rnacentral:rRNA from 1 species
GUACACUCCUGCGGGAGGCAGCAGUGGGGAAUUUUGGACAAUGGGCGAAAGCCUGAUCCAGCAAUGCCGCGUGAGUGAAGAAGGCCUUCGGGUUGUAAAGCUCUUUUGUCAGGGAAGAAACGGUGAGAGCUAAUAUCUUUUGCUAAUGACGGUACCUGAAGAAUAAGCACCGGCUAACUACGUGCCAGCAGCCGCGGUAAUACGUAGGGUGCAAGCGUUAAUCGGAAUUACUGGGCGUAAAGCGUGCGCAGGCGGUUUUGUAAGUCUGAUGUGAAAUCCCCGGGCCCAACCUGGGAAUUGCAUUGGAGACUGCAAGGCUAGAAUCUGGCAGAGGGGGGUAGAAUUCCACGUGUAGCAGUGAAAUGCGUAGAUAUGUGGAGGAACACCGAUGGCGAAGGCAGCCCCCUGGGUCAAGAUUGACGCUCAUGCACGAAAGCGUGGGGAGCAAACAGGAUUAGAAACCCCAGUAGUCCCAUGAU